rnacentral:rRNA from 1 species
UACGAAGGGGGGCUAGCGUUGCUCGGAAUCACUGGGCGUAAAGGGUGCGUAGGCGGGUCUUUAAGUCAGGGGUGAAAUCCUGGAGCUCAACUCCAGAACUGCCUUUGAUACUGAGGAUCUUGAGUUCGGGGAGAGGUGAGUGGAACUGCGAGUGUAGAGGUGAAAUUCGUAGAUAUUCGCAAGAACACCAGUGGCGAAGGCGGCUCACUGGCCCGAUACUGACGCUGAGGCACGAAAGCGUGGGGGAGCAAACAGG